AUUGAACGCUGGCGGCAGGCCUAACACAUGCAAGUCGAGCGGAUGAAGGGAGCUUGCUCCUGGAUUCAGCGGCGGACGGGUGAGUAAUGCCCAGGAAUCUGCCUGGUAGUGGGGGAUAACGUCCGGAAACGGGCGCUAAUACCGCAUACGUCCUGAGGGAGAAAGUGGGGGAUCUUCGGACCUCACGCUAUCAGAUGAGCCUAGGUCGGAUUAGCUAGUUGGUGGGGUAAAGGCCCACCAAGGCGACGAUCCGUAACUGGUCUGAGAGGAUGAUCAGUCACACUGGAACUGAGACACGGUCCAGACUCCUACGGGAGGCAGCAGUGGGGAAUAUUGGACAAUGGGCGAAAGCCUGAUCCAGCCAUGCCGCGUGUGUGAAGAAGGUCUUCGGAUUGUAAAGCACUUUAAGUUGGGAGGAAGGGCAGUAAGUUAAUACCUUGCUGUUUUGACGUUACCAACAGAAUAAGCACCGGCUAACUUCGUG
rnacentral:rRNA from 1 species